GGUCAUGUGGUCUAGUGGUUAUGACAUCUGCUUUACAAAGUUCGUGCUUAGAGCCCUAUCGCAGAGGAUCACAGGUUCGAUCCCUGCCACGAUCG